UACGAAGGGGGGCUAGCGUUGCUCGGAAUUACUGGGCGUAAAGGGCGCGUAGGCGGAUACUUAAGUCGGGGGUGAAAGCCCGGGGCUCAACCUCGGAAUUGCCUUCGAUACUGGGUAUCUUGAGUUCGGGAGAGGUGAGUGGAAUGCCGAGUGUAGAGGUGAAAUUCGUAGAUAUUCGGCGGAACACCAGUGGCGAAGGCGACUCACUGGCCCGAUACUGACGCUGAUGCGCGAAAGCGUGGGGAGCAAACAGG
rnacentral:rRNA from 1 species